rnacentral:lncRNA from 1 species
CAUUUAAAAGAUCCUUAAUGCAUUUAUUUUAAACCACAGAAUCAAAACACAACAAUCUCAAAAUGAAUUCCUAGAAAACAUAUAUUGUCUCUUUUAUUAUUUAAAUAUUGAUUUCAUUCUUAUCUUCACGGGACAUUUCUGCAUCUAGUUUAAACCAUCAUUAUUAAUGCCAUGCCAAAUCCUUGUUUUUGAAAAGGCCUAGUAAAACUGGCAGCAAUGUGAUUGCACUACAAAUACAAUGACUACAAAUUUCAGGGGCUGUCAUAAAAAUGGAUUUGAACAGCUAAUUAUUUUCAGAAACGUUUUUUGCUCAUAGUUUGUUUGAGGGAUAUAAAAGCUUAGCUGCAUUGCAAACGUCCUCAUAUCCCUGCCUGAUAUUUAUUGUGAGUUUGACACCUCUUAACACCCAUGUUUUCUGCAAGUUGUUCUUUGCUCUGGAUACAGAAAGGAAGUACUCAAGGAAAGCUGUAAUACAAGUUCACAUUUGGAGGGGCGGGUAGCCAUGCUUUGAUGAAGUUAUCCAUGAGCUCUAAAAGCAAAGACCUUACAUGCACUUGCUUCAGCAUCUAUGUAACAAAGUAGCAGUUAAGAUGUUCAACAUUUCCAUUGUCUUCAAAUAUCAGGCCAAAGAUGCUUGACCCUAAUUAUUGAUUGCUGUCAACUAGUCAUUUAUUUUCACCUGGCUUAAGUUUUUCCUACU